UCUAAUGUCAGUUGGUUUAAAAUUUGACAGUUGUAUUUUUUUGAUUCCGAAUCUUAACCUUACUUUACAGGUGAUUUGAUUAUGUACAAAAAAUGUACAAUGUAAAUAAAUUGAACCAAGUAAUGUACUAAAAUAUGCUAUGUUAUAAUUUAAAACUCGUUAUGUUAGUCUUAUGAAAAGAAUUAAACUCAAAAGAGAUAUACUUGUUUACAGUGCAAAUUAAUGGCAAUAAUAGGGAUUUACGAUUUAAUUUGCAGGAAAAACAUGGGCAACCUACCCAGUUGGUAAAAUUUGUAGAUUUUACUGUGUGGAUGUCACAGAAAGAGAAACAAAAUAAUAUUCAGUCACAGGAGUACAAGAACAUGAAACAUCUUAUUAUGUAUGUAUGCCAUUCUCAAACAAUUAUUGUACAAAACAAGAUAGAGAAGAGCUUUAAAAUCCCAAGGAUCCUGCAAAAAGAAAAGUGAAAAUGUUGUCUCAAUUAAUGUAGUAUAGAUAGACAUUUUUCUUUAUUUUAGUAUUAAAUAAUUAUUUAGAAUAUUAAUAGGUAUUAGUUUUAAUAGUAUUAAUAUUUAUUGUUUGAAUAAUUCCCAUCAUAUAACUUCUGGCUAAAGUUACAAAAUAAAUAAGAAUGAAAAAACAUUUAAGUGGUGUAGCACCUUUACUUUACCUGGGGACGAGGUGAGUUAUUAGGUAAAUUCUAUUUUCUUACAUAAUAUAGGUACAUAUAUAAUAUACUUAAAAAUGAAUGGUGGUAUUAUUGUGGUUUAUAUUGAAAGCCAAAGCAAGUAAGAAUAAGAAGAUAUAGGUAGCAGUAUAAGAAGACGUGGCUACAGGCGAAGCGUGUUCAUGAAUGUGUUAAUAAUAAUAAUUUUAUAUCUAUUUUGUUAAUACAUUUUACUAUUAAAAACAAUUAUUAAAAUAUGCCAAAAACGCCCACAAAGUGGCUUUAAGUUUUAAUACACAGUAUGUGGACUUCAACUAGGAAGAUUAUGUUAAGUAUGAGCAGAAUAAAGGUUAACAAUUUUGAUGUUAAUGUUUUAUUGUCAUAGGUUGUCUUUUUUUAUUAUAUUUAAUGCAUCUUUCUUCUUUACCCAGUGCUUCCAUAGUUUACCUUUUCUUAACUUUUUUAAAAUUCAGUAAUCCAUGUAUUUCAAAUCAUCUAACUGACCAGCAAACAGAGUAACAUCUAAAUGAGGUGUUUUUUUAGUCUUAAUUGAUCGGUGACAUAAACAUGACCGAAAUGUCAGGUUUAAUAACCAAUUUGCCAUCAAUUGGGCUUUUCAUCGAUUGUACUUGUUUCGGGCUUCUGUCACAUUUCGUAUAAUCUGUGUAUAUUAAUAUUAUACACGGAUUAUAUGAAAUCUGACAGAAGCCGAAACAAAUGACUGUUGAUGAAAAACCCUAUACAUCACAUGGAACUUGAAUGACAUUAAAUUGAGCAAUUUUAUAUUUAACGUUUUAUUGUGGUAAUUUUGUGACAUAAGACAUAAUAAAUGACGUCUUUAGGCUGACAUUUUGACCAUAGAAAGACGUCUUUAUGACGUGGAUUUGUCAUAUUCAAUUGACGUCUGUAUUACCUCAAGCUAGUUUUUGGGUGUACACAACUAAACAACAGUUUUUUGACUGAUAGGUUUAUUUCAUUAAAUCAAAACUUAAAUGAAUAUAAUUAAAAUAAGAUAAGAAUAACAAAUAUGAUUUGCUACAUACAAAUGUGUUAGGGUUAAAAAAUACAUAAAACAUGACAUUACACACUUUGACCUAAAUCUAAACUAAAAAGUUAUUAUUGUUAUAAUCGGAAUUAAAAAAUAUAGUAACAAAAUUUAUGAACAGGUUUAAGACCAUUUAAUAAAGUAAUUCCUAGCUAUAAAAAUAGUUUUUACUUAUGUAUAAUAAUAAAUAUUAUGUUAAUAAAUGUAGUAGUUUUUACUUAAUAUGUCAUACCUAUACAAAAAAGAGGCAAUUAAAUUCUUAUAAAUAUAUUUCCGAAAACAUUUGUUUGCUGUGCUGCAUAUGGUUAAUUUAUUAAUUUUCAUUAUAAAAAUAAAAUAAGUACAUAAUUAAGAUAUUUAAUACAAACAAGACAGUUCGAGAAUUAAUUACUAGACUAGAUUACCUAGAGAACGAGAAGAGAAAUAUGAUAAUGUGAUUGUAACAGGUUUGGAUAUAGACGUUGAGGAACCGGGAGUGUUAAAAUUGGCUAUGGGAAAAAUGAUAAACUUUACAGAUACAAGUAGAGAUUAAAUCAGCUCUUAAGAUAGAAGAGAGAACAUGUCUGCUGCAUUUCGUGUACUAAUCAAAUACUAGUACAUAUCUAAAAAUAUUCAAACUGAUUGUUGUGCAGUAACAUUUAUUAUUUUAAAACACAUUAUGGGCAUAUUCAAAAAUGUAAGUAAAAUAUUUGCAUAUACACAAUAUAAUUUAAAACAAAAAUGUUACCACUAGUCCAUUUUUUAAAUAUUAUUGAGAGCUGAUUUACUUACAAGACAAGAUAACACGAACAUUAAACACUCCUAUGACAUUGAUUUGAAAGAUGGAUGUAGGCGCAACCAGUGUUCAUUUAUGGGUAAUUGAAUGCUUACAGACUGGGUCAUGUCCAAUAUUAUUUUACAACCAACAGGGCAUACUAAUUGAUAAUCAUCCCGAAUUUAACAAUAAUGAUUUUUGUCUUAAGUAUUUCCAUGAAUGCUGUGCAAAAGGAAAUAUUAAUUAAGUUUGGUAAAUCGCAAUUUAUGGAACUCAUGGGCUCAUUUCCUAUCACUUUGAACUUAUGACAGUAUGAAUUUCCCAUUGUUUUCUUAUGUUCAAAUAGAAAAGAUACUUUUAUUUACCCA